GCGCGAGUAGCUCAGCUGGAUAGAGCGCUGGCCUCCGGAGCCAGAGGUCGUGGGUUCGAAUCCCGCCUUGCGCAUCA
rnacentral:tRNA from 2 species